GCGCCUGGGGAGUACGGCCGCAAGGUUAAAACUCAAAUGAAUUGACGGGGGCCCGCACAAGCGGUGGAGCAUGUGGUUUAAUUCGACGCAACGCGAAGAACCUUACCUGGCCUUGACAUGCAGAGAACUUUCCAGAGAUGGAUUGGUGCCUUCGGGAACUCUGACACAGGUGCUGCAUGGCCGUCGUCAGCUCGUGUCGUGAGAUGUUGGGUUAAGUCCCGUAACGAGCGCAACCCCUAUCCCUAGUUGCUAGCAGUUCGGCUGAGAACUCUAGGGAGACUGCCGGUGACAAACCGGAGGAAGGUGGGGAUGACGUCAGGUCAUCAUGGCCCUUACGGCCAGGGCUACACACGUGCUACAAUGGUGCGUACAGAGGGCUGCAAACCCGCGAGGGGGAGCUAAUCUCACAAAACGCAUCGUAGUCCGGAUCGGAGUCUGCAACUCGACUCCGUGAAGUCGGAAUCGCUAGUAAUCGCGAAUCAGAAUGUCGCGGUGAAUACGUUCCCGGGCCUUGUACACACCGCCCGUCACACCAUGGGAGUGGAUUGCACCAGAAGUGGUUAGUCUAACCUU
rnacentral:rRNA from 1 species